rnacentral:rRNA from 1 species
UACGUACCGUCCAAACGUUAUUCGGAAUCACUGGGCUUAAAGAGUUCGUAGGCGGCUCAGAAAGUUGGGUGUGAAAUCCCUCGGCUCAACCGAGGAAUUGCGCUCAAAACUACUGAGCUAGAGGGAGAUAGAGGUGAGCGGAACUGAUGGUGGAGCGGUGAAAUGCGUUGAUAUCAUCAGGAACACCGGAGGCGAAGGCGGCUCACUGGGUCUUUCCUGACGCUGAGGAACGAAAGCUAGGGGAGCGAACGGG